rnacentral:rRNA from 1 species
ACUCCUACGGGUGGCUGCAGUGAGGAAUAUUGGACAAUGGGUGGAAGCCUGAUCCAGCCAUCCCGCGUGCAGGAAGACGGCCCUAUGGGUUGUAAACUGCUUUUGUAUAGGGAUAAAUCAUCUUACGAGAUAGGAUGUUGAAGGUACUAUACGAAUAAGCAUCGGCUAACUCCGUGCCAGCAGCCGCGGUAAUACGGAGGAUGCGAGCGUUAUCCGGAUUCAUUGGGUUUAAAGGGUCCGUAGGCGGGCUAAUAAGUCAGUGGUGAAAUCUCACAGCUCAACUGUGAAAUUGCCAUUGAUACUGUCAGUCUUGAGUGAGUUUGAUGUUGCUGGAAUGUGUAGUGUAGCGGUGAAAUGCAUAGAUAUUACACGGAACACCGAAUGCGAAGGCAGGUAACAAAGACUUAACUGACGCUGAUGGACGAAGGCGUGGGGAGCGAACAGGAUUAGAUACCCUGGUAGUCCACGCAGUAAACGAUGCUAACUCGUUUUCGGGGUGAAGAACUUCGGAGACCAAGCGAAAGUGAUAAGUUAGCCACCUGGGGAGUACGUUCGCAAGAAUGAAACUCAAAGGAAUUGACGGGGGCCCGCACAAGCGGUGGAGCAUGUGGUUUAAUUCGAUGAUACGCGAGGAACCUUACCAAGGCUUAAAUGCAUUUUGACGUACCCUGAAAGGGGUAUUUCUUCGGACAGGAUGCAAGGUGAUGCAUGGAUGUCGUCAGCUCGUG